CUCAGCACUCGGAGGGGCUUAGCGUUGGCCUGCACGUGCAAAAUGUUGCCCCAGGGGCCUGCUGACAUUGCACACUGCUGGCACGCUCACCACCUGGCACCAGGGCUUGGACAGGACCAUGGUGUUCAGGCCACACUUGGCACCAGCUGCCAACAAGCUCCCAUGGGGAGACCACAGAUGAAAAAGCGGAGCAUCGAGAUGGGAUCUGCAGAGAGCAGUCACAGCAAGGACACCAUUGGGUUUGCUACCAUGCAAGCGGAGACAUGCAACCUUCCCUCAAUCUCAGGACAACUGGUCGGGGAAUGCUGCUCUCAAACCUGCCUGGGACAGAGAACAAAAUCACCAGAGGUGGCUAAUUAACAACCAUGGCCCUUUUACACAAGCAUCCAUAGGACCAUAUUGCUUCUCUGGUGUUCUAUGCAUGCUACAUAGUGUGCAACAGGGAUGUGGUGCUCUAAUGUGUGUGCAACAGGGACGUGGUGUUCUAAACUCAUCAUGGGAGCACUUAGCAACCAUUUUACAUUGGCAUAGGUUUCCCAGGGAAGGAUCACCCACCAGACUGCCUGGUAUUCUCCCCUAAUUGAGGCAGGGAUGGGGGAUAGGGGCACUGGGCCCAUAUUAGCUGUCUCUCGUUAACUUUCUUGACUCAUCCCGACUCGCCACACAUGGGAUGGCUGCUGCUGCACUUGAUGCCUCUCAGAUGGAACAGGAAGAAAUGAUGGAAAGCACCUUGAUCACAGGCUCUUUGUCGUGGUUUUGACUGGGACAGGAGAGCUCAGCUGAAGAUGUACAGCCAGCUUGUGACAGUCACAACGUGCACCACAGCGGUGGCAGGCAAACCAAGUUGAGAUGCACUGAUUACAGAGCAGCAGUCAGAUAUGGAUACUUUUUUCAUCUUUGAGAACAUGGCUGGGAUUAAAUAUGGCGACAUAAAACCAGCAAGCCUAUCCUGAUAGCAAAGUGGCUGCCCCUGCCUUGCAAGGUGCAAAGGAGGCAAAUGUGAGAUUUUUCGUGGUCGUGUGCCUAAUAGGAUGGCAAUUAAUAUUGGAGAUGUGGUCUGUGCUGGCCACACAUGCCCUGGUGUUUUUGGAUAAGUCACACAGGACCUGAACUGCAUAGGUAUUUGGGUGCUUGGGGUCAUAUCCACCCUGCCGACUUCAGGCAUCUAAUUUGAGCAUUAUCUUCCAGAAAUUUUACAAGCCUCGCCUCAGGGAGGGUCAGAAAAGGCAUCUGGCCUAGAGUAACCAUGUCAGUCACAGGAGAUGCUGUUGUCUUGGAGAAUCUGCAGAAAAUGAGGCAACAGAAUUGGGUUCUGCUGAGAGCGUGGUGAGAGCACCCAGAGCUGUGCUCAAAGUUGCAUUGCUACCAGUGAAAGGCAAAGUUGACCUUCUGUGCUUUUCGUACCAAGCCAGAUCAAAGCUGAGUUGGAAAAGCUUUUCUCAAGCUAUUUAACUUUGCACAAUGGACGGAUCUUUGAAGGCAACAGACAACUUCAAAUGUUUUGAUUCUUGUGUGUCCAGUACUUCAGAAGGACAUGGGUUUGGAGUGCAAUGACAGACCCCCUCUGAUGGCCAGGCAUUCUGGCUCCCUGCCUCUUGACUCUGAACCCAGCGUUAACCAAACUCUUCAGUCAUUUUGAUGCUGUGGAUAGUCUUUUGGGUAGAGUCAGAUUGUUCAGAUUCUUGGGCCCUUCUUGACUUAGGAAACAUCUUGGAUUCUGAAGCACAGUAAUAACACACAUUACUCCUCUCUGUGCUCAACUUUUCCCCUUGUUUUCACAAGGCAUAAAGCUCUAGCUGACUCCAGGGACAAGGUGUCCUGCACAUGCCAUUCCAGUGGAGGUCCUCGGCUUUGAAUUUCAAUACUCUCACCCUCUGGUGGGACUACAAAGGGGAAGGUGUUCCCAUCUCUCCUCCAGAAAUCAGCUCUAAGGUGUGAUAACACCCACUCACCUUCAGUUUGGUGUCCAGCCAUGCAUGGCCUCCUAUGAACACCAACUUCUUCCUACGUAUUUUUCUGUGUUUCUCAUGCUUCCCUCACAAGCCUGACUUCUUCGUAGUGCCUGACCCUGUGGGGACCAGUUUGUCCCCACAAUCACCCAACCUCACAUUACACCUGCAAAUACCAGCCUUCUACUCUUUCAGCUGAAAGCAUUUGGAAACAAAUGAGUGCUGUCAUGUAUAGAGCUCUGUAUGUGUUAUGACUGUUAAUGUCUACAGCGAUGUUAGAUUUCAAAUGACUGCUAUUUAGAGACCCAGGCAGCCAAUUUAUGUUCACUUCAUUACAGAUUAUUACAGAGGGAGCGCAUGCACGCGCACACACACGCUUCUCUAAUGAAAACUACUUUUGUUCUUUCUUGUUUUGUUCUCUUACACAAUAAAAAAUCCU